rnacentral:rRNA from 1 species
GACGAACGCUGGCGGCGUGCUUAACACAUGCAAGUCGAGCGGUAAGGCCCUUUCGGGGGUACACGAGCGGCGAACGGGUGAGUAACACGUGGGUGACCUGCCCUCAGCUCUGGGAUAAGCCUGGGAAACCGGGUCUAAUACUGGAUAUGACUCCAUGACGCAUGUUGUGGGGUGGAAAGCCUUGUGCGGCUGAGGAUGGGCCCGCGGCCUAUCAGCUUGUUGGUGGGGUGANGGCCUACCAAGGCGACGACGGGUAGCCGGCCUGAGAGGGCGACCGGCCACACUGGGACUGAGACACGGCCCAGCUCCUACGGGAGGCAGCAGUGGGGAAUCUUGCGCAAUGGGCGAAAGCCUGACGCAGCGACGCCGCGU